AACCUGCCCUUAACUCUGGGAUAAGCCUGGGAAACUGGGUCUAAUACCGGAUAGGAGCGUCCACCGCAUGGUGGGUGUUGGAAAGAUUUAUCGGUUUUGGAUGGACUCGCGGCCUAUCAGCUUGUUGGUGAGGUAAUGGCUCACCAAGGCGACGACGGGUAGCCGGCCUGAGAGGGUGACCGGCCACACUGGGACUGAGACACGGCCCAGACUCCUACGGGAGGCAGCAGUGGGGAAUAUUGCACAAUGGGCGCAAGCCUGAUGCAGCGACGCCGCGUGAGGGAUGACGGCCUUCGGGUUGUAAACCUCUUUCAGUAGGGAAGAAGCGAAAGUGACGGUACCUGCAGAAGAAGCACCGGCUAACUACGUGCCAGCAGCCGCGGUAAUACGUAGGGUGCGAGCGUUAUCCGGAAUUAUUGGGCGUAAAGAGCUCGUAGGCGGUUUGUCGCGUCUGUCGUGAAAGUCCGGGGCUUAACCCCGGAUCUGCGGUGGGUACGGGCAGACUAGAGUGCAGUAGGGGAGACUGGAAUUCCUGGUGUAGCGGUGGAAUGCGCAGAUAUCAGGAGGAACACCGAUGGCGAAGGCAGGUCUCUGGGCUGUAACUGACGCUGAGGAGCGAAAGCAUGGGGAGCGAACAGGAUUAGAUACCCUGGUAGUCCAUGCCGUAAACGUUGGGCACUAGGUGUGGGGACCAUUCCACGGUUUCCGCGCCGCAGCUAACGCAUUAAGUGCCCCGCCUGGGGAGUACGGCCGCAAGGCUAAAACUCAAAGGAAUUGACGGGGGCCCGCACAAGCGGCGGAGCAUGCGGAUUAAUUCGAUGCAACGCGAAGAACCUUACCAAGGCUUGACAUGUUCUCGAUCGCCGUAGAGAUACGGUUUCCCCUUUGGGGCGGGUUCACAGGUGGUGCAUGGUUGUCGUCAGCUCGUGUCGUGAGAUGUUGGGUUAAGUCCCGCAACGAGCGCAACCCUCGUUCCAUGUUGCCAGCACGUAAUGGUGGGGACUCAUGGGAGACUGCCGGGGUCAACUCGGAGGAAGGUGAGGACGACGUCAAAUCAUCAUGCCCCUUAUGUCUUGGGCUUCACGCAUGCUACAAUGGCCGGUACAAUGGGUUGCGAUACUGUGAGGUGGAGCUAAUCCCAAAAAGCCGGUCUCAGUUCGGAUUGGGGUCUGCAACUCGACCCCAUGAAGUCGGAGUCGCUAGUAAUCGCAGAUCAGCAACGCUGCGGUGAAUACGUUCCCGGG
rnacentral:rRNA from 1 species